UUGUUUUGCGGGCGUUGCGCACCUUGAAAUCAGCCGGGAAAUAAAUCGCGCGUGUUUUCAUCACGACCUACUAGGUCCUGGUUCCCACCGUGGUAUUCAUCUAUUGCGCCUUGCGGUGAUGGAACGUUCCUCUGCACCUCGGACCAGUAUGUUGCCAUACAGCGCAUGUAUCACCACAAAAAAGAGCUAGUACUACACUCUUCUGGGUAGUUUGGUCUGAUGCAGGGUAACAGAAGCCUCACUAGCACGGAAGCCUACCAGGAAGCCCAACAUUCAUUCGCUGGACUUGCUCUGCAUGGACAACACGUACCUGCCAACUUGGAACAGUUUUCAGGAAAUGACUAGCCAAACUUCCCAUAGCAUGACGUUCAACAGCAUCAUGUAUAAGAAGUACUCUCUUGUUGUGCAUACUACCGAGCAUUUCCUGGACUUGCUCUACAUGGCCAACACGUACCUGUCUACUUGGAACAUUUUUCGGGAAAUAUCUGGCCAUUGGUCAUUCAACAGCAUUGUGUGCAAGCAGUACUCUCUUGUUAUGAACGGGGACAAGGACACCUGAGAUUAGAAAUUAUCAACAGGUUAAAUGGGACAGGAAAACAAGCAACUUCCACAUUUGGUCAUAUGGAAAACAUCGAGAGGUGAAAAGGGACAGGUAGAAACACAUUUAAAAUUGAGCCUUAGGAGUCACCAACAGGUGAGCCUUACCUCUUCCAAUUUCAGCCAGAAUAAUUGGCCCCAUGUUAAGUAUAGCUACACAGUGAAAAAUUUCCUUUAUUUUGCAAGUGAAAGGGGACAGGAAGGAAAACCUCCGAAAUUGUGCAGAGUAAUUCGUGGCAGAAUGUUGUGUCAAAAUACCUGCAGCACCACUUGUCCCAGCUUGCCGUGACAGACACUCUUCUGAUUUGUAAUUCUGCCUGUGUUGUUGAGUACCUAAAGGAAACCACGGGAGUGCAAAGAAGCUUUUUCUCCGUUGAUGUAGUGGACCUGCUUUACUCAGUUCCGCAUGCCACACUAUUUUACACGGCAUGAGCAUGCAUUGAGGAGAAUGGUGUGGUACCUUUCCAAACUUCCUGCAGAGUCAGUGAGCAUUUUUCUGAAAAUCUUGAGGUUAUACCUGUGCUCGACCUUUGUUACUGAUAGUGACAAUGUGUACAUCGUCUAAGGGCAUCUGUAUUGAAUCCUGUGUGGCUAUAGUACCAUGUGACAUUUUUCUGUACUCGGUUGAUCAUAUCAUAUGUUGGCAAGGGUGCUUCCCCAGCUAGGUGUAGAAGGAGAUGUUAGAUAUAUAGACGAUUUUCUUGUCCUUUUCACGGGGCCUUGCAUGGAUGAUAGACGCGGCCCUUCAUCCUUUCUUACGGCUACGGUGUUCGUCUUAGAUUCACUUAUGAAGUUGCAGUAGAUGGCUGUAGUAUUCAAUACACAAACCUCCGUCUAACAACAUCGACGGAGCACAUUUGUUGGCAGUAUUCCCCUCCGCCAAGAAAAGGCCUACCCCUUUCCAGUGUGCUCAUUCUCAGAUAGUAAAGAGGGAACUAGCUCUCAUGCUUAAGGAACACCCUGGUUACAUAAUGCCACCACCACAUGUUUGUGUCGUUUUCAGUGCAGGUGGUUCGCCUGCGGCAAGCUGGUUUCCCCGCUGAUCUUAUUUCCGCCAUAAAUAAGGCAUUGCUACAAACGUUACUAGCAACGUUUCAGCAAAGUGCAAUGACGAGCAAUCAGGGGUCCUCCCGUAUGUCCUACAACCUGUAGAAAUGUUGCUUUGAGAUUGCCAUGUCCCUCCUGUCUUUUCAGCCCCUAACAAGCUACACAGACUGCGUGGGAUUAUUUCUCGCAGCGAUGUUGCAUAAGAAUGACCCAUAAAACAUGCCAACAAGUUUGUCGAGUGCAAGAGUAAUGUUGUUCACAGUAUUCAGUUUACAUGCGUUAUGAUCUAUGCGGGCCAGUCAGGUAGAUGCAUUAAUGUACGCCUGAGGGAGCAUCCCAACUCCCUAAAAGGUAACCCCCCUUGCAACCUGACUUUUCAUUCUAGACAAUGCGGUUGCGACCCACUUUUUAAUUUGAGAAGAAAUAGUUUCUCUUUACAGUAUGCUGUCAUACGGGCACUGCAAUAGUGGUGAUGAUGGAAAGGAUGCCGUGGGACAAACCACAAGCCGGGGUGUCAGCAUGGGACCCGUGGGUCUUACGGAACACAUUCACGGGCUGCCACCUGACAAUACUGUCUUACCUACCCUCUUCUAGGCUACUUUCUGUCACCACUAUUAUGCCUCAGCCUCCCCUUAGAGCUAUCCCAUGCCUGCACCAAACCUUACGACAGACAGAUCCCGUUUCAAACCUGGGUUUUUCUGAACAGCAGUCAAGCACUAAACCAACUGAGCUAUCCACUUUAUUUUUUUUUCCCGAAGGAAAAGCUUUAUGCACUUUUACAAUGUUUACACUGUGCACAGACACAAAGCACAGCUGAGUAAAUUGGAGGGGCUUGGAGGGUUCGACCAAGGUAAAUCUUGAAUCGACCACCAUGUCUCUUCUGUUUAUCCUGUCUUCAGAUGAGCUUGGGGACUUUGCAGUACCCCUCAGCAGAUAACUACGGGUUUAUGUGCCAUCGUCUGGCAGUGGGCUCUUCUGCUGCACUGUCCAUGGCUAAUUUGAUUUCCCUCCAAUGCUUGUCAUCCUUGUGUCUUAGUUUCACGAAAGGUCCACUUCAACAAUCCCCGGAAAUAGCCCCAAGGUGUUUUCAAGAUUGCUUCCUGAUUAGCCACAGCUGUCCGUGUCAGCCAGAGUAAGUGCAGACCCAAAACGAUCAAAUUGCAAAUAUAUGCUUCAGGCUUUUUGUGUGUCCAAGAAUUUGAUCAGCUGCUAGUCGACGUCAAAAAUCGGGUUGAACACUUUCUUGAACUCUGCCCAGAAAACGAAGCGUAUCCACCCACCCCUCCACCCACCCGUUCAAGAUGACAGGAAUCCGUUAUUAACGCCAUGAUAACACGCAGCAUUCCAACCCUCUCAGUAACUGUGCUUAAUUUCAGCUCAACAUGAACACUUCUAAAAUUUGCUGAAAAUGGAAAGUAUUGCUCUCUUGGUGUUUUCAAGGGCCAAAUUAGCAAGGUCAUUCUUUGUGAUCUCUUCCACAUACAGAGUAAAGAAUGGAAGAAUACGAACUGGAAAGAUAAUGGAAAAAGGUAAAGAAUAAAAGAUCGAGGUUUUCUAUGCCAAA